rnacentral:siRNA from 1 species
UACGCUCUGGAUACAUUAGCAUGG